rnacentral:rRNA from 1 species
AGAGUUUGAUCCUGGCUCAGGAUGAACGCUGGCGGCGUGCUUAACACAUGCAAGUCGAACGAUGAAGCUGGAGCUUGCUCCGGUGGAUUAGUGGCGAACGGGUGAGUAACACGUGAGCAAUCUGCCCUUGACUCUGGGAUAACUGCGGGAAACUGUAGCUAAUACCGGAUACGACGCCUUGGGGCAUCCCACGGGCGUGGAAAGAAUUUCGGUCAAGGAUGAGCUCGCGGCCUAUCAGCUAGUUGGUGAGGUAAUGGCUCACCAAGGCGACGACGGGUAGCCGGCCUGAGAGGGUGAACGGCCACACUGGGACUGAGACACGGCCCAGACUCCUACGGGAGGCAGCAGUGGGGAAUAUUGGGCAAUGGAGGAAACUCUGACCCAGCGACGCCGCGUGCGGGAUGAAGGCCUUCGGGUUGUAAACCGCUUUCAGUAGGGAAGAAGCGAAAGUGACGGUACCUACAGAAGAAGCACCGGCUAACUAUGUGCCAGCAGCCGCGGUAAUACAUAGGGUGCAAGCGUUGUCCGGAAUUAUUGGGCGUAAAGAGCUCGUAGGUGGUUCGUUACGUCGGAUGUGAAAAUCUGGGGCUCAACCCCAGACCUGCAUCCGAUACGGUCGAGCUAGAGUUUGGUAGGGGAGACUGGAAUUCCUGGUGUAGCGGUGGAAUGCGCAGAUAUCAGGAGGAACACCAAUGGCGAAGGCAGGUCUCUGGGCCAAUACUGACACUGAGGAGCGAAAGCGUGGGGAGCGAACAGGAUUAGAUACCCUGGUAGUCCACGCCGUAAACGGUGGGCACUAGUUGUGGGAACCUUCCACGGUUUCUGCGACGCAGCUAACGCAUUAAGUGCCCCGCCUGGGGAGUACGAUCGCAAGAUUAAAACUCAAAGGAAUUGACGGGGCCCCGCACAAGCAGCGGAGCAUGCGGCUUAAUUCGACGCAACGCGAAGAACCUUACCAAGGCUUGACAUAUAGGGAAAAGUGGCAGAGAUGUCAUGUCCGCAAGGGCUCUAUACAGGUGGUGCAUGGUUGUCGUCAGCUCGUGUCGUGAGAUGUUGGGUUAAGUCCC